rnacentral:rRNA from 1 species
GACGAACGCUGGCGGCGUGCUUAACACAUGCAAGUCGAACGGAAAGGCCCUGCUUUUGUGGGGUGCUCGAAUGGCGAACGGGUGAGUAACACGUGAGUAACCUGCCCUUGACUUUGGGAUAACUUCAGGAAACUGGGGCUAAUACCGGAUAGGAGCUCCUGCUGCAUGGUGGGGGUUGGAAAGUUUCGGCGGUUGGGGAUGGACUCGCGGCUUAUCAGCUUGUUGGUGGGGUAGUGGCUUACCAAGGCUUUGACGGGUAGCCGGCCUGAGAGGGUGACCGGCCACAUUGGGACUGAGAUACGGCCCAGACUCCUACGGGAGGCAGCAGUGGGGAAUAUUGCACAAUGGGCGGAAGCCUGAUGCAGCAACGCCGCGUGCGGGAUGACGGCCUUCGGGUUGUAAACCGCCUUCGCCUGUGACGAAGCGUGAGUGACGGUAAUGGGUAAAGAAGCACCGGCUAACUACGUG